CCUACGGGUGGCAGCAGUGAGGAAUAUUGGUCAAUGGACGAGAGUCUGAACCAGCCAAGUAGCGUGAAGGAUGACUGCCCUAUGGGUUGUAAACUUCUUUUAUAUGGGAAUAAAACGUUCCACGUGUGGGAUUUUGUAUGUACCAUAUGAAUAAGGAUCGGCUAACUCCGUGCCAGCAGCUGCGGUAAUACGGAGGAUCCGAGCGUUAUCCGGAUUUAUUGGGUUUAAAGGGAGCGUAGGUGGAUUGUUAAGUCAGUUGUGAAAGUUUGCGGCUCAACCGUAAAAUUGCAGUUGAAACUGGCAGUCUUGAGUACAGUAGAGGUGGGCGGAAUUCGUGGUGUAGCGGUGAAAUGCUUAGAUAUCACGAAGAACUCCGAUUGCGAAGGCAGUUCACUGGACUGCAACUGACACUGAGGCUCGAAAGUGCGGGUAUCAAACAGGAUUAGAUACCCUUGUAGUC
rnacentral:rRNA from 1 species